GACGAACGCUGGCGGCGUGCUUAACACAUGCAAGUCGAACGGAAAGGCCCUGCUUUUGUGGGGUGCUCGAGUGGCGAACGGGUGAGUAACACGUGAGUAACCUGCCCUUGACUUUGGGAUAACUUCAGGAAACUGGGGCUAAUACCGGAUAGGAGCUCCUGCUGCAUGGUGGGGGUUGGAAAGUUUCGGCGGUUGGGGAUGGACUCGCGGCUUAUCAGCUUGUUGGUGGGGUAGUGGCUUACCAAGGCUUUGACGGGUAGCCGGCCUGAGAGGGUGACCGGCCACAUUGCGACUGAGAUACGGCCCAGACUCCUACGGGAGGCAGCAGUGGGGAAUAUUGCACAAUGGGCGGAAGCCUGAUGCAGCAACGCCGCGUGAGGGAUGACGGCCUUCGGGUUGUAAACCGCUUUCGCCAGGGAAGAAGCGAAAGUGACGGUAAUUGGUAAAGAAGCACCGGCUAACUACGUG
rnacentral:rRNA from 1 species